AGAAUCAACGCUGGCGGCGUGCCUCAGACAUGCAAGUCGAACGCGAAAGUCCCCUUCGGGGGAUGAUUAGAGUGGCGCACGGGUGAGUAACACGUAGGUAAUCUACCUUCGAGUGGGGAAUAACUCAGGGAAACUUGAGCUAAUACCGCAUAAUGCAGCGGCACCACAUGGUGACAGUUGUUAAAGCAUUUAUGCGCUUGAAGAGGAGCCUGCGGCAGAUUAGCUAGUUGGUAAGGUAAUGGCUUACCAAGGCUACGAUCU
rnacentral:rRNA from 1 species